rnacentral:rRNA from 1 species
CAGCCGCCGCGGUAACCCCAGCGCCACAAGUGGGAACCACGCUUAUUGGGUCUAAAGCAUCCGUAGCCGGUUCUGCAAAUGCCCUGUGAAAUCGUUCUGCCUAACAGAACGGCGUGCAGGGUAGACUGGCAAGCUUGGAACCAGGAAAGGUAUGCGGUAUUCUGUGGGGAACGGUAAAAUGCUAUAAUCCACAGAGGACCACCGAUGGCGAAGGCAGCAUACUUGAAUGGAUUCGACGGUGAGGGAUGAAAGCUAGGGGAGCGAUCCGGAUUAGAUACCCGAGUAGUCCUAGCCGUAAACGCUGCGUGCCAGAUGUUGCACAAUCCUCGCGAUUGUGCAGUGUCGUAACGAAGGUGUUAAGCACGCCACCUGGGAAGUACGGUCGCAAGGCUGAAACUUAAAGGAAUUGGCGGGGGGAGCACC